rnacentral:ncRNA from 1 species
UGCCACCUAAAAGUGGUGGACUUAUGCGGUACCCACCGCGUAGCAGGCUAGAACCUGCAUCGGACUUCUAACAAGGAGAAAACAAAUG